rnacentral:rRNA from 1 species
AUUGAACGCUGGCGGCAGGCCUAACACAUGCAAGUCGAACGAGUGGCGGACGGGUGAGUAAUGUCUGGGAAACUGCCUGAUGGAGGGGGAUAACUACUGGAAACGGUAGCUAAUACCGCAUACCAUCGGAUGUGCACAGAUUGGAUUAGCUUGUUGGUGGGGUAACGGCGCACCAAGGCGACGAUCCCUAGUUGGUCUGAGAGGAUGACCAGCAACACGGGAACUGAGACACGGACCAGAAUCCUACGGGAGGCAGCAGUGGGGAUUAUUGCGCAAGGGGCGCAAGCCUGAAUCAGCCAUGCCGCGUGUAUGAAGAAGGCCUUCGGGUUGUAAAGUACUUUCAGCGGGGAGGCGUUACCCACAGAAUAAGCACCGGCUAACUCCGUGCCAGCAGCCGCGGUAAUUC